CUUUUUUUUAUGAAAAUAAAAAAAGAAAAGAAUUCGACGAUAAGAGAAGAGGAGAAAGAAGAAAAUUAAAAAAAAAUGAAAAUGAUUUGUGCAGACAAUAGCUAAAGUAGUGUAGUACACUACAGUAAAAGUGUGAAAAGCCGACGCUUAAAUGCCGACGCUAAAGGAAAGCAUCGGCAUUUCCUGCUCCCGCGCCAAGCUUUCCCGACGCUC
rnacentral:lncRNA from 1 species